rnacentral:misc_RNA from 1 species
CAGUAACGCGAGAAGGGUACAAGUACGUGCACCGUGAACACCAAACCACACUAUUGAGAAAGACAGGAGGUCACAAGAGAGUCUUCUCUGGUUUUCCGUGUGUGUAGCGCCUUAGUCUCUCUCUUUUUCUCGGUACCACAACCUCCCCUCCUUCCCCUCCUUCCCCUCCUUGCGCAGGUUUGCGUGUGGCGGGUGAGAGAGGCCGAACAAGGCGGAAGUAAACGCAGGAGCGCAAGCAGAAGGACGAAAGUUUUGCUUGUGUGUUGCUUGUUCCUGUUGGCCCUCCCCUUUUUUCCUCUCGUCCCCUCGUCCCCUCCCUCCCCCCAAGGCGGCUCAUCAUCCGGUCUCCCGUCCUCAGACGCUGGCACGCUGUGUGUGUGUAAGAAGAACAUACAAGCAGGAGGUGGGGCAUAGAAGUUACGCAACAGCGACGGCAGAUCGUGAAGAAAGGCACCAUAGACGCGCACCGGCUCCGUUUCCUUCCUUCUUUCCGUCUUUGCUUAUAUUGCUUGGCCUUUUCUUUUCGCUACGGCUUUGCCCGCCGACCCACGCACGACCAUAGACGGCACCCACUCUCUUUGUUGACCACUGCGCUUCAUAGACCAGUGCCGCACAAGAGCAGCACGCAGCCGCGCUUUGACUUGUUGGUCUUUGCCUGUUCCGCGCUCCUCUCCUGCCUGCCGCACUCUCAGCCUUCCUCUCUUCCUCCACUCCUCGGACAGAGCACGUUAUUCCUACCUUGUGUGCACGGGGAUCGGCCCACAGCAGUGCACCCUUCGCCCCCUUGUCCUCCUUUCCCCACUCGCCUUUUUUUUUUCGUUGCAUCAUAUUCGCCUCUUGUCGAAGAUGAUGCGCGGUGCGCCCCAACUGGCGGCUCGCUCCGUCCACCUUUCUGCGGCGUCAUGCGCAACGGCUGCAUCAUUGUUGUCACCACUCCGCUUUUUCGGGUCUAAGUACACCGACGACCUUGGCAACUACAAGCGCCCCUACACGUAUGAGAGCCGCAGCGCUGCUCACCGUCACCCGACACGUAAGGAGAUGCUGCAAGGGCAGCGGACCGCCGCGGCUGCCUCCGCCAGCCCAGUAAGCGGCACUGCAGAGUUUUCAAAUGUGGAUGCGUUUACCGAGGAGGCGGAGGCAGAAGAGCCUGUGCAGCGCUGUAACAAGAACAAGUACGAGGAUCUUUUCAAAAAGAAGUCGGAUCAGCGCAUCGCCUUCACAAGCAACUUCCGUGAGCCUGACAUGAAGCCCAUCUUAGACGCAGCCGAUGAGGCGCCGCGCCCAGGCACGGCGUGGAGGCACUCGUCCGCCCCCGCUGCUGUGGACAAGGAUGAGACGGAUGUGACUCGCAUCUACAGCAAAGAAGAGGUCCGCAACAUGCAGCAGAGGGCGAAAGUGAGUACCGGCGAGGCCGCGAAAGCGAAGGCGCCCAGCGGUGGGCUGGGCGGCAUCUCGCCUGCACCGGAGACAGCGCAGCGCACAGUGGCGGAGGUGGAGGCCCAAGUGCCGAAAGAUGACGAGGAUGAGUUUGCCGAAAUCCGCAGCCACCCAUUCUUCAUGGACAUGCUGCGCCGGGUGGAGCGCAACAUGAUCCGCUUCCGCAAGGAGACGCGCGCCGCGGGGCGGUACAGCCUAGAGGCUGUCAACGAGUGCGUACGGCCGUUGCUGCAGCUCACCGACUACCCACUCACGGCCAGGCAGCUGUCGCACCUCUCCCACAGCAUCAGCCCAGCAGUGCUGAAAAGCUCUUUGCGUGACCGGGCUGCGUGCAGGCACCUGCAGCUCUACCGCUCGCAAGACACUGAUCUGCUGCUCGACUGGUCCAAGGAAGACUUCCUGCGGCGCCGCUACGAGAGCGUGCACUUGUCAUGGGAGCCGAUGGAUGUGAUUUGCCGCCGCUUUGGCUGGACGCUGGACAUGAUGUCAGACCGUGACUAUCUCCUAUACUUCUCGGCCUUUCCCGAUUACGUCGAGAUGGCGGAGAUGCAGACCACCGCGAAGGGGGAGCCAAAAGCGAUCCCAAUCGAUGAUCCCGUGGCGCGCGCCGCAGAAGACCCCAUCCCGGCAAGCCGCCUGCUGCUCCGCCGCAAGGCCUCCGUAGACGCCGAGCCGUCCCUCACCGAGUCCAUUCGACUCAUGGGCAGUCCCGCUCUGGCGACGCCGGCAAAGGGGAAGAAGGCGCAGCGGAUGCGCCAGCACGGCGGUGACUCGGUGGCCGACUACUUUGGCGCUGUCGAGGCGACCGCGCGCGCUGUCGACGGAGACGAAACGGUGAAGCUGCAGCAUGCCGCGGACAACGUUCCGCCUCUGCGCCAGGCGAGCCAUCCUGGAGGCCGUACGAUUCGUGAGUUCUCCAUUCCAAAGUCACACCUCCCUGAGGCGCCCGAGGCGCCUCCUGCAAUGCCAAGCGAGACGGACAUGAGAAGCGAGGCGAUCUUUGACCAAAAGAAGUUCGAGGAGCUUUCCAACGCGUACCACAACAUCAAGGUAGAAAACUCGCUGCUACGCCGCCGCAUGCUCGGGACAGACAGCGUUGACAAGGCGCAGGAGAUGCAGAGCAAACUGGCGAGUGGCCGCCGCGAGCAGCUGCGCCUGGAGCAGGAGCUGGAGCGCAUGCGCGAGUUGAAGCGCAACACACCGAUAUCGAAGAACGGUCCCAACUUUGCCGUGCCGCGCGGUCAGCCACAGUACCCGGAGGCGCCGGAGCACACGACGGAGUAUUCAAAAAACGGGAACGCCGUCGAGGACAUUGAUGACGACGAGAUCGAGCAGGCCUUGAAGGAGUUCAAGGAGAAUGAAGCACUGCGGAUGAUGGAGAGGCGGCCGAUGGCGACUGCGGCGCGGCCGGCCCCUUCGUCGUCUCCUGACCACGCCAUCGCCACUACCACCUCCGCUGACGCUGCCGUCGACGAUGGCAGCGAGGAAGUGGAGGAAGUGAUCGAGGUGGUAGAGGAUGAGGAUGAAGACCUGGUGGUGUCCGGCGAUGCGGCGACGGUGGGGCCGCAGACCGGCGCCCAGGACGACGUUCUGAUCGCAGAGAGCGAGGCGGAUGACUCAGCCAAUGCGCACUACGGUGCGCCCACGGAUGCGGCGGCCAAUGAGUUAUCAGAGAGAGGUGACCAGCAUUGGCAGGAUGAGCUGUCAGCCGCGGUUGAGCAGCACGAAGCCGAGAUGGAGGAGCAGGAGAGUGAUCUCACAGCUGCCUUCAACGACCCCCCUGCUACCACCCCCGCCUCUCGCUUAGAGCAGCUUGCUUCCCUGCACGAUCGACUGUCCUCGGCGGCGGACCGCGCCCGUCGUUAUGUGGCCACGGUGCAAAGCCGUCGGCAAGAUGUAUUGAAAAGGCUGGACUGCCAGUUGGCGGAUGCCAACACGAAGGUGGAGCAGCUUGAGGAUCAGCUGGCCGCUGUACAAGAAGAGCAGACCACGCUCCGAGACACACUGGCUCGCAAGGAGGCGGAGCGCAAGGCCCUCGAGGUCGAGGCCCAACUGAAGGCGCAGCGGGAAAGGCGCUUGGCCGAGCUGGAGCAGCAGCGGGAGCGGGCACGCCUCGCGCAGGAGGCGGCGGCGAGGGCCCUGGAACGGCAGAAGAAGGCCGAACGAGAGGCGCUGGAGAUGGAGGAGGAGCUGCAGCGCAAGUUGAGGGAGGUGCAAGCGAAGCUGCGCGUUCUGCACGACGGCAACUCGGCUGCGAACAACACCGCUGCUGCUGGUACCCCUCACGCCUCGGCAGCUGAAGAACUGGAGGCGGAGGAAGCUGCAGAGGAGGAGCACGCGGUGCCUGCCCAGGCAGGGAGUUCUCCUUCGCACUCACGCGCGCCUGAGUUGUCGGCACGCGUCACAGCCUCCGUGCGCACUGCUGCCACGGAGGAGACGCCAAACGCUGUGGAAGGCGCCCACGACGCUUCCGCUACACCAGCGUCGAAUGGCCAGUUCAUGUGCACGCCGGAGCAGUACGAUGGUCUGCAUUUGGCGGCGGAGCGGCUGAAGAGGGAGAUUGCUGCAUUGGAGGCCCAGAUGGAGGAGGCGGGUGACGAGGAUGAUGAGACGCUGAUGGCUGUCCUGGCAGCGUCGCGCUCUGAUCUCGAAGAGCUGGAGGAGUGCAUUGGCUCUGUGCAGGCAAACGCGCCGUGGGCUGCCACCCGUGAUGCAAAGCGCGCUCGCGAGAAAGCCUUGUCCGCCGAGGUGGCGAACACCGACGCGCACCGGCUGCAGAGCCACAUCGACAACCACCGCUUCCAGAUCUCGCUCCUGGAGAAGCGCCUGCAGCACGCCUCGAAGAAGGCGGUGAUCACGAAGCUGAAGGACCGUAUUGUGCAGGCUCGCAAGUCCAUUACUCAUCUGCGCAUGGAGCAGGACCGUCUGCGUCGCGCUGGCCGUGACUCUAUGGGGUUGCCACAGUCGAUGAGCAUUGCGGAGACGCUCGCGCAUGAGUUGAAGGACGAGGAGGAGGCGAAGCUGGAGGUGUGCAAGGCUGCGGGUGAGGAUAACUGCGGAUCUCCUGUAGCCGCGAAGAGAUCGGGCUUGGACUCCGACGCUCAGACCGCCGACGGCGAUGAGUCCUACGAUGUCGUUUCAGACGCCACAUCACCUGACCUCGUGGGGGAGUCGCAAUCGGCAGCGCCCGCGCCAUCGGCGCCCAACUCGGACGCUGAAAAGCUGCGCUUGCGGCUCGACAGCAUGGUGAAGGACAUCCAGCACCUUCAAGAUAGCAUUGAGGCGCAGGAGCGCACGACGGACUACGACGACGACGAGACCGAGGUGGUGCUGCGCGAAAUGAAGGACAAGCUGAGCCAGCUGCUCCGUCUGCGCGACCAAGUGCAACGGUCCUUGCUGGAGGAGUCAGUGAACAGCCCCGACACCGCUGGUAGGCCCACCCCCGUCAUCCGUCCAGCUUCAGCUGCCGCCUCAGCUCCGCCGGUAGUCGCCCGAGGUAGCGCAGCCGUCCAGAGCGGCCCCUCGACUUCUCAGCACGGAAGACUUGACCGCGUGCCAAUGGCAUCCAAGAGGCUCCGGACCACUGCUCGCAGUUUUACCACGCAGCGCCAUCUUUAGAGAAGCUUGAGCGGCGGCAGCCGCGACGUCUGCAGGCUAAAAGAGCGUCACUUACCGCUUUAGCGCGUGCCUUCGGGACGGUGCACACCGCGGCUGCUGUUCGAGCCCGGAGUCUUUGUGCAUUUCGAGCUCCUCUUGUGCAGCUGUCCGCUGGAAUGAGAACAACGAAAACACAACCUCUUCCCCUCCCAUCCCCACCCACACACACACACACACACACAGACACACAAGCGAAAGGAGGAGCGAAGGACGCCCUCCUCCUCCUCCGUCUUUUGGAGGAGGGAGAGCGAGAGAUGGGGGAAAAGAGGGAACACCGUUGCUUUCCAUAGAAGAAAAAAAGGCGCCGUUGAUGUGAGUGCGUGUGCGCGCACCAGGGCGUGCGCUCGUGCUUUUUUUUUUCAUAACCUCGACAGGCGCCUAUAUGUCUAGUAGGAGGGGCCCCCCGCACAGUAGUAUCGAAGCCGGAGUUUCUCUAUGCGUCUGUACGUGUGUGGGCGAACGACAUCUCCCUUUUCCUCUCCCUUUACUGCACUCACGUGUUGGCUGUGCUGUGGGUCUUGAGUGCAUGCAUGCAUGCAUGGGUGCACGUGCAUCUGUGCUGAGGGAGGUCUUCUUUUUUUCUGUCUUCGCACUUACUUGUUGAUGAGUUACUAUCAUAGAGUGAAUGUGUUCUUGUCUUUGUCGUUGCUGUUGUUGUUGUUCUCUCUCUUCUUUCCCCUGUGAAGUCUGUGCUUUCAUUAACGUAAGCGGGUCGCCUCCCCCAUGCUCUAUCCGUGUUGCUCGCCCCCUCGCCCUAUGUCUCUCUGUGCGCUUUCUGUGUCCCACUUCCUUCUUCCCUCUGAUUGUGUGUAGGCGCGCGUGUAUGCGUGUAUGUGUGUGUGUGUGUGAAAGAAGAAGGUUCUCGCAGAGGGGUCGCCUGCCUGAAGCGCAUGCGUUUGCACCCUUCGUUUUGCACGUGUGCCUCUUCGAGGGGCCCUCGUUCGGGCUGUGGCAGGGCACCAGCCCUGCCCGUGAUUCCAAAGGUGGCACACUGUGAGACAG